CUAAUCGCAGUCAAGAAAACAUCCGAUGUUACCUUGUAAUGUACCCACUUUAGCCAAAGAGUCCGCCAUUCCGUGAUGGAUUGGUGAGGGGAGGAAGGGCAGUGAAGGAAAUGCGAGAAGCGCUUCCCAGGGUUAACAAAACGGAGAGCCUCAACGGAGCUGAGGUUGCAAGUGACUAUGAUCCCAAAGCUAUACUGAAUAGUAUCUAAUUCUGCGACGUAAACUGAAGCAGGGUCAUUAACUUUGAAUGCUGAUCAGUGUUAAGUCAGACCGGACUAAGUCGCAAAACAUCAAAAAAUGAGAUAAUGAUAGCACUGGAUAAAGAAUUUUGUCAGCUACAUUCGACUUUUACCAGAUUUGAUAUAUUUAACAAUAAACAAGAAUUACGGCAAAAAUAAAUUUCCAAUCAUAAUGUAAAGAAUGCGGCGAUUCAAACUUUAAAUUCGUUUUUCUCGAAACCAAUAUUUUGUCAUUUAGUCCGGUCUGACUUAACACCGACCUGCUAAGAUGAUAUGCUUAUUGAAGAUGCUGAACCCAGUCGACUCGCUAUGAUUUAACUAAUCAGUGUCAAACAUUUUGCUACGGUUGACUUCUCUAAAUUUAUCAUAAAAGAUUUAAGGAUCACUUGCGGGCGUUACUACUUCGACUACAUUGCACAGAACAUUAAUAUUGCAUCGUAAAAUACUAAUCAUUGUGUAUUCAUAUAAAAAUGGUAGAGGAGAGAACUAAGACAAGGGCCAUGGGGAGCUGUAGCUAAAUUUUUGAUGUUCUUGAAUCCGUAUGAAUAAUGAAUGUUUUUUUAAAACAUGAAACUUAGCUAAAAAUUAUUUCAAAUCGUUGAAAUACCGUACCGUACCAUAUCAACACCGUUCCUGAAAGAACGUUUAUAGAAACUGGAUCCAGGGGGCCCUGCGGGUCCGGACCCCCCUCCGAAAUUGUUUAACAUCUUGAGAAAUUUUAAUAUUGUUUCUAUUUUAAAUUCGUUCUAAACUCAAAACCAUUCCAAACUAGAUACGACCACAAAAACUGAUGUAAAUUAAAUGAAGGUAUAACAUAUUACGUAUUGUACAAUGAACAUUUCAAAAUCGAAAUUCCCGACUCGCUCCGAAUUUUUUCUGGAUCCGCUACUGGUG